rnacentral:rRNA from 1 species
UACGUAGGGUGCAAGCGUUAAUCGGAAUUACUGGGCGUAAAGCGUGCGCAGGCGGUUUUGUAAGUCUGUCGUGAAAUCCCCGGGCUCAACCUGGGAAUUGCGAUGGAGACUGCAAGGCUAGAAUCUGGCAGAGGGGGGUAGAAUUCCACGUGUAGCAGUGAAAUGCGUAGAGAUGUGGAGGAACACAGAUGGCGAAGGCAGCCCCCUGGGUCAAGAUUGACGCUCAUGCACGAAAGCGUGGGGAGCAAACAGG